ACCCAGUGACUGAGAAGUUUCCUCUAGACGCCUCCUUGUCUUCUAGAAGCAUCUAUUCAUUCUUAACGCUCUGGACUUUUAGGGGGGAACAGUUCUAAACAGUUCUAAGGAAAAGAUUACAACUCCCAGUGGUUGGCCAGAGGAAAGAGCCAGCUCCUCAAACACAGGAAAUGAAUGAGAAAAACAAAGACACCUGGCAGAAAGCA
rnacentral:lncRNA from 1 species